rnacentral:lncRNA from 10 species
UUUGAAAAAGGGCAUGUAUUUAUUGCCACUUUUUAUAGGAGUACUUUCAAGGCUUCCCAGAAAUGCAUGUGGCAAUUUUAUUCAGCAUCAGAAUUUAAUUUGUUGAAUUCAUUUUAGACCUAGGGUCCUCGUUGUUUGUGAGCUUCCAGGGUAGGUGGAAUUUAAAGUCUAGUAGAAUUUGGGAAGUGAAGCAAUGUCAGGUUUGCUUUGCUUUUUUUUUAUUUGCCCUUCCAGCACUUUUAUUUCUCCUUUCAGCAUCUUGACCCUAGCAUUGGGUUUGCUUGUGGGGAAUGCCACAGAGCUCUACCCUCCUCAGGAAGCGCCUUACUGUCCUGGAUCUACCGGGCUCCUCCUCCUUUAAUGGAAGCCUGUUCUUAACUGGAAUAGGGAAGAAAUGAGUUCUAAACCUUUUCUUGCCCGCCACCCACCACCAAACUGGCCUUGCUGUGACUUCAGUCUUCUUCAUCCAGAAAUAACUUAGGAUGGAAGGAAAAAAGGAAACUCAAAGAGGGAGAGAAAGCAAAGAAAAGGAAAAGAAAAAGAAAAUAAAUAAAGCUGACAAAUCCUGACACCUUGUGAUUUGCCUACAACAAAGAAUGAAAAUCAUCCAGAUAAGAAGCAAACUUCCCUGACUUUUGUUCUUCCAAUAGAACAGACAGCUUUUACUGAUAUAAAUUUUAAAAAUGGAAAUUAAGGGCUACUUAUUUCUUCUCAUUUCUUUUUGAGGGAAAAAAAUCAUGCCUCAAAUUGGUAAUGGGUAGACCUAUAAGAUUAGCUUAUAAUAAAAGUCUGAAAAAAGAUUUGCAGUCCACAAAAUAAAAACACUUCUGGAAGUAUCUGCUUAUGUUAUUGGAGUUUCUUGAGAGGAUGAACAUCUUCUAGUAAUGAGAUUAUUGUUAUCAUGAUGCAUCAGUGUGAGCUUACAAGGCCAUUAGCCCAGGCAGAGCUUUCUGCAGGUGUCAGUCAAUUUGGUAUGAUUUUAAACUUUUAAAAAUUUUGUUUAAAUCUAGUAUUUCUCCAUCAGCCAGGGAGUAUUUAAAAAUGCAAUAUCAGCUGAUCCAACAUAUUUGAUCCCUAGUAAGAGCCUUCUAAAGUAUAAGCCUGUUAACUUGGGGUGUUACCUUUUUAUGCCUGUUUGAGUUGUGAUCACCGUAGUCUUUAUUGGCCUUUCAGCAAAGUAAAAGUUUCUAAAAGAAUGGAGCUCAUGUACUCCCAUAAAUAUAUACACCUACUAUGUUCCCACAAAAUUAAAAAUUAAUAAAAAGAAAAAUAGAGUAAGGUAGUAAGGUAUGAGAAGAAAGACAGAAACAGCUACAGCCAAGUUAGUUUUAGGGUACGCGGUAGUAGAGAGAAGUCGGGGAGACAAGAGGCAGUAAAGAGAAUUAGGGCAGACUGGGCAACAUAAUGAGAUCCCAUCUCUAAAAAAAUAAAACCAAAAUUAGCCAGGUGUGUUGGUGCAUGUCUGUAGUCCUAACUACUUAGAAGGCUGAGGCAGGAGGAUUGCUUGAGCCAGGGAGGUUGAGGUCAUAGUGAGCCAUGAUCAAACCAGUGCACUGCAGCCUGGGCGACAGAGCAAGACCUUGUUUCAAAAGAAA